rnacentral:rRNA from 1 species
UGGGGAAUUUUGGACAAUGGGCGAAAGCCUGAUCCAGCAAUGCCGCGUGUGUGAAGAAGGCCUUCGGGUUGUAAAGCACUUUUGUCCGGAAAGAAAUGGCUCUGGUUAAUACCUGGGGUCGAUGACGGUACCGGAAGAAUAAGGACCGGCUAACUACGUGCCAGCAGCCGCGGUAAUACGUAGGGUCCAAGCGUUAAUCGGAAUUACUGGGCGUAAAGCGUGCGCAGGCGGUUGUGCAAGACCGAUGUGAAAUCCCCGAGCUUAACUUGGGAAUUGCAUUGGUGACUGCACGGCUAGAGUGUGUCAGAGGGGGGUAGAAUUCCACGUGUAGCAGUGAAAUGCGUAGAGAUGUGGAGGAAUACCGAUGGCGAAGGCAGCCCCCUGGGAUAACACUAACGCUCAUGCACGAAAGCGUGGGAGCAACAGGAUUAGAUACCCUGGUAGUCCACGCCCUAACGAUGUCAACUAGUUGUUGGGGAUUCAUUUCCUUAGUAACGUAGCU